GGGAUGAUGCACUGAUUUGUGGGCCAGGGGCUCUCCAAAGAAACUUCCCUUGCUGUCCGCAUAAGAGAGAAGAAAAAGUGGGAUACUGACUUGCUGCCCUCAGACUGGGGAAGGAGCAAAGAUUCUGAGUGCAUUAACCACACAUGCAGCAAGCUGCAGGUGCCCUAAGAAGAAGCCAGUCUGUCUCCCCUAUGACCCACCCAACCGCCCUCCUUAUCACCAAGCAGGCCACCCGCCACCACCAGGCUUGGGUCCACAAUGAAGCUACCCCAUCACAGGUGAAUUUCUCUGAUUGAUAAAGGUUUCACAGCUUUCUGGGGGUGAAGCCCCAAGAGACGUCUUAAAGACCCUCUUCCACAUCCACUGCUAAGAUCCCUUCCUCUGCUGCCUUCAAGAUGGAGAGGGAACAUAAAGCUUGAGCUCAACGCAGAGCUACAGUGUGCAGCCCAGGAGUGCCAAGCUAAGAUCUGCAGCCAACACUCUAUUGAGAGAAGAGCCAACACGUUCAGAGCAAUGAGAGAGAGAACAGCUGCAAUCGUGAAGAAGUACAGAGGAGCCACAUAUCUGAGCAAGAGCUUACCGACUGGCCAUUAUGCUUAAACACCACCUACUGGAUCACAGACCAAAACUUCAACACCAAAAAUGUUUUGCUAAUAUACAGCCCUGUGAAACCAAGGACAAAUUCAGCUACAAAUAGACCAGCACAAAGGUUCAGCCCUCUUAAAAUAUCCUGAAAAGAAAUCUACUGACUAUUCAAAUUACACUACAUUUAAAAUAACACCCACCUACACAGAUGGGAAAGAACCAUUACAAGAACUCUGGCAACUGAAAAAGUAAGAGGGGCUUAUUUCCUCCAAAUGGCCACACUAAUUUCCCAGAAAGGGUUUGCAGCAAGGCUGAAAUGGCUGAAAUGACAUAAAUAGAAUUCAGAAUAUGGAUAGAAACAAAGAUCAUUGAGAUUUGGGAGAAAGUUGACACCCAAUCCAAGAAAUCUAAGAUUUAAAACAAAAUAAUACAGGAGUUGAUAGACAAU
rnacentral:lncRNA from 1 species